AUUGAACGCUGGCGGCAGGCCUAACACAUGCAAGUCGAACGAGUGGCGGACGGGUGAGUAAUGUCUGGGAAACUGCCUGAUGGAGGGGUAUAACUACUGGAAACGGUAGCUAAUACCGCAUCCCAUCAGAUGUUCCCAGAUGGGAUUAGCUUGUUGGUGGGGUAACGGCUCACCAAGGCGACGAUCCCUAGCUGGUCUGAGAGGAUGACCAGCCACACGGGAACGGAGACACGGUCAAGACUCCUACGGGAGGAAGCAGUGGGGAAUAUUGCACAAUGGGCGCAAGCCUGAUGCAGCCAUGCAGCGUGUAUGAAGAAGGCCUGCGGGUUGUAAAGUACUUUCAGCGGGGAGGCGUUACUCGCAGAAGAAGCACCGGCUAACUCCGUGCCAGCAGCCGCGGUAAUAC
rnacentral:rRNA from 1 species